AUGAUUGAUGAUGAUCCCUGGUGGCAUGUGAGUCACAUGGAUCAGUACUUUUCUGGAACUCUGAGAUCUGC
ensembl:snoRNA Gm22205 small nucleolar RNA SNORD113/SNORD114 family